AUUACAUUACAAUGACUUGACAUUACAAAAGUGAUAAGAGAAUAUUUAUAAUAUAACCUAAUGGACUCUAACUUACUAGUUUAAAAGCCCAAUAGCUUAAGCUCAAUACUUUAUUAUCUAACACCUACCCUCAAACUCAUAAUGCAUCAACAAAAAACAUUGUGAGUUUGUCAAACAAAAUACGAAAAACAUAUUAAAUAAUAUAAACUUAUAGCACCACCCCUCAAGCUAAAGCUUACUAAGCUUUAAGCUUGUUACAAAAUUAACCCAGAAAAUUAAACUAAAUCAACUAAUAUCAUAACCAUCAGAGAGCAGACAUAAGAUAAACCAUCAAAGAGAGCAGAACUAAAUCAGAUUGAUCCAAUAUCCAAUCCAAAGCAUCUGAAACUGAACCAAUUGAACAACUCCAAGCUAAGCCAAACCAAAUUGUACCAAUACAAACCAAACCAAAACAAGCAUAAUCCAAACUAUCAAAAAGAAGAACCAAACCACCAAACAGAAGAAUUAUUCAAUGGAGAGAAGAGCAACCAAAAUAGAAGAACAAACAAGGGGAGGAAGCAAACCGAAGAGAAAUCAUCAGAGAGAGAAGCAAUCAAACAAGGAGAAGCAAUCAGACAUAAGAAAAUCAACAGAGGGAAGCAAUCAGACAGAAUUCAGACAAAAGCAUCAUCAAUGAGAAGC
rnacentral:lncRNA from 1 species